GACGUAGGGGGCCAGCGUUGUUCGGAAUUACUGGGUGUAAAGGGUUCGUAGGCGGUGUAGCAAGUCGGGAGUGAAAUCUCUGGGCUUAACCCAGAGGCUGCUUCCGAAACUGCUGUGCUUGAGUGUGGGAGAGGCGCGUGGAAUUGCAGGUGUAGCGGUGAAAUGCGUAGAUAUCUGGAGGAACACCGGUGGCGAAGGCGGCGUUCUGGACUGUAACUGACACUGAGAAACGAAAGCCAGGGUAGCAAACGGG
rnacentral:rRNA from 1 species